rnacentral:rRNA from 1 species
UACGGGGGGGGCAAGCGUUGUUCGGAAUUACUGGGCGUAAAGGGCUCGUAGGUGGCCAACUAAGUCGGACGUGAAAUCCCUCAGCUUAACUGGGGAACUGCGUCCGAUACUGGAUGGCUCGAGUUUGGGAGAGGGAUGCGGAAUUCCAGGUGUAGCGGUGAAAUGCGUAGAUAUCAGGAAGAACACCCGUGGCGAAGGCGGUUCUCUGGGACGGUACUGACGCUGAGACGCGAAAGCGUGGGGAGCGAACAGG